AUUCAUAUAAUUUAUAAAGAAUAUUGCUUUGAAGCAGCAAAGGAGAUAAAAUUAUCUGUGAAUA
rnacentral:tRNA from 1 species